rnacentral:rRNA from 1 species
UACGUAGGUGGCAAGCGUUAUCCGGAUUUAUUGGGCGUAAAGCGAGCGCAGGCGGUUGUUUAGGUCUGAUGUGAAAGCCUUCGGCUUAACCGAAGAAGUGCAUCGGAAACCGGGCGACUUGAGUGCAGAAGAGGACAGUGGAACUCCAUGUGUAGCGGUGGAAUGCGUAGAUAUAUGGAAGAACACCAGUGGCGAAGGCGGCUGUCUGGUCUGCAACUGACGCUGAGGCUCGAAAGCAUGGGUAGCGAACAGG